rnacentral:ncRNA from 1 species
ACACGUAGAGGUGCGCUGUUUAUCAGUAGGUUGUCUUAGGGUGAUGCCAGUGAGGGCAAGCGAAAGGAAACCGCGCCGAAGCACAAUGGGUUUAUCAGACUUUUGUGCUGGGGUUGUGCUCGAAAAGACACAACACUGCCAUAGUAUUGGGAUUUAACUAUGGAGCGCUACUGUA